AUUGAACGCUGGCGGCGUGCCUAAUACAUGCAAGUCGAGCGAAUGACGAGGAGCUUGCUUCUCUGAUUUAGCGGCGGACGGGUGAGUAACACGUGGGUAACCUGCCUGUAAGACGGGGAUAACUCCGGGAAACCGGAGCUAAUACCGGAUGAUAACGAGAAGCGCCUGCUUCUUUUUUGAAAGUCGGUUUCGGCUGACGCUUACAGAUGGGCCCGCGGCGCAUUAGCUAGUUGGUGAGGUAACGGCUCACCAAGGCGACGAUGCGUAGCCGACCUGAGAGGGUGAUCGGCCACACUGGGGCUGAGACACGGCCCAGACUCCUACGGGAGGCAGCAGUAGGGAAUCUUCGGCAAUGGACGAAAGUCUGACCGAGCAACGCCGCGUGAGCGAUGAAGGCCUUCGGGUCGUAAAGCUCUGUUGUCAGAGAAGAACAAGUACCGGAGUAACUGCCGGUACCUUGACGGUACCUGACCAGAAAGCCACGGCUAACUACGUGCCAGCCGCCGCGGUAAAAC
rnacentral:rRNA from 1 species